ACGGGUAGCAACAACAUUUCACACCAUAUAUUCAGUUCCAUUCAUAUUGAAAAUUUGUUUUCAUAUCUUCUUCAAUGUCAUCAAACACCUUUUUCUUCCUAUGUCAAUCAUAUUUGUUAUAAUAAAUUAUAUUUCAUGCUAUUGCCUAAUUUUGUCUACUUUUUUGAUUUGGCAAAUUUAUGUCAAUCAUAUUGAGAAUUUGUUUUCAGAUAAUUGCAUUUGGUGUUGAUUUUGCAGGUACACUUGGAUAAAAAUAAGAACCUUUACUCCCCAGCAAGAAAUGAAAAUCCAUGAGAAACAUCCACAUACACAUCAAUCAAGAAUGUUAACAAGGUGGAAACUCAAAUUUCAUAGAUGCAGGUAUUGCUUCUACAUUUAUAACUCCCUGAUAUUCUCUAAUAGGUAAAUAAAUUUAUAGUUUAUUCUUAGUAAUUUAUGAACUUAACUAAAAAAAAAAGAAUUCAGAUGUGUGCCAAAAAAUUUCUUUUAGGAUUGGACUAAAAGAUGUUUACCUGCAAAGGAAGGAAGGAGCAUACCCUGACAAUGGAGCCUACACCACCAAUAAAGGAAAGUACCUUUGAGGAGAAAAAUAUGAAAAAUUUCAAUGAGAUAGUUGUUCUUUCUUCUUGAACUACAUUCCCUAUAUAAGUCACUCAACUACUUCAACUCAUUCAUCACUCCUCCUGAAUCUCGCAUCAACCUG